rnacentral:rRNA from 1 species
UGGGGAAUAUUGGACAAUGGGCGCAAGCCUGAUCCAGCCAUGCCGCGUGAGUGACGAAGGCCUUAGGAUUGUAAAGCUCUUUUUGGCGGGGACGAUAAUGACGGUACCCGCAGAAUAAGCCCCGGCUAACUUCGUGCCAGCAGCCGCGGUAAUACGAAGGGGGCUAGCGUUGUUCGGAAUUACUGGGCGUAAAGCGCACGUAGGCGGACUGAUAAGUCAGGGGUGAAAUCCCGGGGCUCAACCUCGGAACUGCCUUUGAUACUGUUAGUCUCGAGUCCGGAAGAGGUGAGUGGAAUUCCUAGUGUAGAGGUGAAAUUCGUAGAUAUUAGGAAGAACACCAGUGGCGAAGGCGGCUCACUGGUCCGGUACUGACGCUGAGGUGCGAAAGCGUGGGGAGCAAACAGGAUUAGAUACCCUCGUAGUCCCUGAGCGGGCUGGCAAGGCGCAU